rnacentral:lncRNA from 1 species
UUGGCUAAUUUUUUGUAUUUUUAGUAGAGAUGGGGUUUCACCUUAUUAGCAAGGAUGGUCUCAAUCUCCUGACCUCGUGAUCUGCCCACCUCAGCCUCCCAAAGUGCUGGGAUUACAUGUGUGAGCCACCGCGCCCAGCCAAAAGGAGGAAUUUUUUAAGCAAAAUUAUGGGAGGUCAUUGUUUUGAACUAAACUCAUGCAAUAGGUCCCAACAGACCAAACCAAACCAAAAUGGAGUCACUCAUGCUAAAUGUAACAUAAUCAAACUAAGACUUUAAGGAAACACAUAAAUCCUAGAACAAACCAGGUUUUGUUUUUCUCCUGUAAACAGGAUGUUCCAGCAUAAGAAGACACCUUCUACUCAAGUCCUUGUUCCACCUUUUCAAAUCUCACUGGUCUAUUUCCCAGUGGGUUUCUAAACCAAACACCCAUAAACUCAGAAAAUACAGUGUAAAACAAAGUGAAGAACAAGUAAGCAACUCACCAGAGAUUUAUUCGUUUCUUGUUGCUCUUGGAAACACCCAGAGGACACUGGAAACAUAGCUGGGAUAGAAGGCAAAUGACGUGGAUUAAGGAGAGAACUGGUGUGGUGUGGUCCCAGAUUCUUCUGCCC